rnacentral:lncRNA from 7 species
GCAGCUUCCUUAGUAGAGUGUGUAGUUAUAGGGGCAGUCUUCCUAUUCUGUUUUGUUUUUGUUUGGUAUCACCUGUUUAUUUCUUUGAUGCUCCAAGAAUAAGUGAUGCAAGGCACUCUACUAUUUGGGAAUCAGAUCUGCACUUCCUCAAGAUUUUGCUCAUUCUUGGCAGCUUGGCAGGGCAGAAUGGGCUGGCUGUAGGACCCCAAAGGAAGGAGCGCGACGAGCCACCAGAUGUGUGACCUCCUCACCCUGCUGGCAGCGCUGAACGUCCUUUCCUGUAAACUUCUCUGAGAAACACUCGUGGUGAGAAAUGGCUGCUACCUUUUGAACUCUCAGCCUAGCAGUGGGAGUUUCCCUGCAAGGGCUGCUGGCAAAGGCUCCAACCUAGGGCGAGAAGAGAUUUCACACGGACUUCUAAAUCAACAGAGGACUGCAAAGCCUUGGAGAGAGGGUUCUCAUCUUUCCCUUUACUGAGUGCUAUGCUAUACCCUGGCCAGGCUGUGCUCUGCGAAGCUCCUGGACAAGCUCUUCCCAGCAGGAGCAGCACCAAGGCAGAAAGCUGGUGCAGGACCCGCUUCCUGGAGACAGGGAGGAAGGAAACCCUAAGGAAGGAAGAUUAACAACGCUCUGAGUCAUGACCAAACUCUCAGCCGGCCUCCAGCAGAACGUGUCCUGCUCACCGUCACUGGGGUUUAGGGCAAAUUGCAGCAGACGCCCCUGACUGGGCCAUCUCAUGUAGUGUGAAGAAAUUGCUCCUGUUUUCACUCAGUGUUCUAUAAUUUAGCUGUUUUUAAAGAUGGUCGUCUAGGUGACAUAUACUGUCAUGGCCUACUGAGGAAAUUUUAUCCAUGAGCACAAGUCAGCACAAAAGGCAACGUGACAAAGGCCAUGCUAUUGCUGAUACAUCAUCAUGUUUUGAUGUACCGUUGUGGCUGGUGGCUUCAGCCACCCCCUGAGAGAUUCUGAAAGUUAGACCAAAAGAGCAUUGUGGUGUUUCAGAAGCACACUGCCAGACUAAGAAGAGACUGAUGAGAUUUUGUGUCCUGAAUUCAUUCAGUGUGUAUACAAGGUCCUUCCUUCACUGAUGUUCUUGUUUUGAUGAUCGGGAACAUUCAGUGACUUCUAGCUUGAACUGUUCCAUGAGGAGCUAUGCAGGGGAAUGCCCUUUCCUCCUCUCCCAUUCCGAGGCUGUGUCCUUGGCCUUGGCCACAGUCCCCACGCAGUACCCCUUGCUGCAGCUGCAUGACCUUCAUGCAGCUGAUACUGGUAGAGAAGUUUGGGUGUUUCAUGAAAACGAGCUCAUCAGAGAUGUUCAUUACCACAGGCCUGGUGCAGUCAUUCAGCUGAAUGUGGUGAUGAGUUCUAGCAACACAGCAAAAAAGGCAAAUCUGAUACUCGCUGGUAUUGGAAAAGCAGGAGUUGUUGGCAAUCUGAAGACAAAGAUUAUCUGAAAAAAAGGGGCACGUGAGCACAGACUUCAUGGGUUUCGGCACCGGUUUGCCUUCAUAAAUUCUGACAUCCAGUCUUCAAAGAAAUCAUGGAAGAGAUAAAAUUGUCAGAGUUUGAGAUGAAAUCAGCACUCAGGUGAAAACAACAAAAUCUUUUGAAAACGGGGGCAGCAAAACAGCAAAUGAAGGUAAAAACUCUGCUGAGAUUCAGCUCCCCAGCCUCAGAUCCAUGGAAAAAAAAAGUGAUAACUUAAUACAGGAAUGUUCUUGUUUGUGGCUUUUCUCCAAUCUUUCAUGGUCAUUUGAAAACUAAAACAGAUCCUCCUGCUCCAGACAGUCUGGUACAGUGAAAGCAGCUUGUUACAAAACAUGGUUAAGAAUGUUUAAAUAAAAAUAUGUAGAAUAAAGAAGGAACUAUUCACGAU